rnacentral:lncRNA from 1 species
CGGUGACUCUGAUAGCCUCCGACGAUUUGACAACUCCUCCCAUUGUCUGCGCCAUUAAUGACGGUGCCAUGCCGCGCUCUACUAUAAAAUGGGGAAGGUAACAGUACUGGAGGAGGUUCCUUCGAAGUCCUAGUUCUCUCUCUCCCUCUCUCUCGCUGAGCUCCUUGAUUCUUUUCUACUGUUGCCUAGUCUCCUCUCUGACUUGACCGUCGGAGGGUCUCCGUCGGAGUCACCUCCGGUCAGU